AAUUUUUCUUCGAAAACUGAAACGUGCUUACGGUACUAACAAAUGUCCCAAUUAAACCUAAAAAUCAGUCCCAGGGCCUAAUCGGCCAAUUUAAAAAAUCUGACACAGCGGCCACGCCGUGCUCCGGCCAUGGCGCCGCCGCCGGCGGUGGCGGUCCACCUUGGGUCAAUCAUUUUUGGCCGAAUUCGAUUGAUUUUAUAUCGAUUCCU
rnacentral:lncRNA from 1 species